GCCGGGGUGCCCGAGCGGACCAAGGGGCUGGCCUGGAGAGCCAGUAGGGGCAACCCUACGCGGGUUCAAAUCCCGCCCCCGGCG
rnacentral:tRNA from 4 species